CACAAAAUGGCCGCUGUGAAAAAGUGUCAAUCAGGCCUACAAAUUUAUGAAAAGUUUGUCGGAGUUUUUCAUAUUUUUUUCUUUUGGAAAGAGGAGAAAACUGAGGAUCCUCUUCCAAAGCGGCUCCAACACAGUGGCAUCACUGUCAUCACUUUGUGACUGAUGCGUCUUUUAUGCAGAUCUGGAGUCAGUUUAACCUCCCUCUGAACCCUCCGCCUGCACCGUGAUGAUCACAACAGAGCUGAGCCGAGAGGUGGACCCGCACUGAGGGAGGUGUCUGAAGAAGUCCAGACGGGAACACUUCCUGACGAGGAUGAGGUCAGUGGUGCCGUCGGCCAGGUGAGCAGACGGCGACAGGCCUUUAGGACUGCGGGGACACGCGCAGCUCAUGCUGGCUGCGUUGAUAGCGAUGAACUUGUCCCGGAUCACACACCACCUACCGCUGCCAUCUGCAACAGAGUGUGCAACAACUGGCCAAGAUAAAUUCCCAGCAGAUGUAAAUGUACCUGGCAAUUAAAGUACCCCUUCAGCCAUUUAUUAAACUGCUAAAA